UGGGGAAUAUUGGACAAUGGGCGCAAGCCUGAUCCAGCCAUGCCGCGUGAGUGAUGACGGCCUUAGGGUUGUAAAGCUCUUUCGUCCGGGACGAUAAUGACGGUACCGGAAGAAGAAGCCCCGGCUAACUUCGUGCCAGCAGCCGCGGUAAUACGAAGGGGGCUAGCGUUGUUCGGAAUCACUGGGCGUAAAGGGCGCGUAGGCGGCUUUGUAAGUCGGGGGUGAAAGCCUGUGGCUCAACCACAGAAUUGCCUUCGAUACUGUAUGGCUCGAGACCGGAAGAGGUAAGUGGAACUGCGAGUGUAGAGGUGAAAUUCGUAGAUAUUCGCAAGAACACCAGUGGCGAAGGCGGCUUACUGGUCCGGAUCUGACGCUGAGGCGCGAAAGCGUGGGGAGCAAACA
rnacentral:rRNA from 1 species